rnacentral:rRNA from 1 species
CCCGGUGGCCAUACCGGAGGGGCCACACCCGUUCCCAUCCCGAACACGGAAGUUAAGCCCUCCAAGGCCGAUGAUACUGCCAUCGUGAGGUGGUGGGAAAGUAGGUCGCUGCCGGGG